CAUGGAUGAUCUUUUGUGUUAGUAAUAAACAAAUCAGACAUAAACAAGUCAUAAACAGGAAAAUAUACAUCCAUUAAUAAUGUGCUUUGAUUAACGUAACAUGUAGUCGGCUAUAAAGACAAUGACAAUGUUUUUAAAUAUCGUUCUCUGCUAUAUUAAAAGACAAUGAAAAUGUUGAAUAACGUAGUGGGCUACUGGGCUUAUAUUCGGGGGACUUAUAUUUGGGUGUGCUUAUGUUCGGGGGGGGGCUUAUAUUUGGAAUGAAUUGAGCGUUAGUAUAUGUGGUGGGCUUAUAUUCCGGGGGCUUAUAUUCGAGGGGGGCUUAUAGUCGGGGGGGGGGGCUUAUAGCCGGAGGUUUACGGUAUAAUGACAGAGAUAAUUUUACCUAUCAUUGGGCUAUCAAUGGGAGAGUCCUGAGUAUUAAUAUUUAAGAGUGAAAAUAUUGAUUAUGAUAUAAUGUUCACAUUAUAAAAUCCCCAAACAUAAUUCUAUUUCUCAACCAUGUCAAAAGAUACACUAAACCUAAUUAAGUUCUUAUUGCAACAGAUUCUCAUUUUAAAGUAGAAUAAUUGCCACAUGUAGUGUUAAGGUGAGAUAGCACAUCUCUUAUCCAUCCAGGACAAAUGACCCAUUUGACACAGUUAACACUAUAAUGGGGGUAAUUUUUCUUUCUUAAAAUGGCAAUGUAUCGAUAUGAUUUUUCAAUGGCAAAAUGCAAUUGGACUGUACGGGCCAGUCUGUACUGGUCAGUGACUAAUUAUAUAGUUAAGCUAGGUGACACUUGCUCGAUGGCUUCCCUGUUAGAUACUGUACUCCUUUUGAAAAAUAUUAAUUGCUACAUGUAGUGUUAAGGUGAGAUGGCACACCUCUUAUCCGUCCUGGACAAAUGACCCAUUUGACACUAUUGUGACACUAUUGACCCAAAUGACCCAUUUGACACAUUAUAAUGAAGUAGUUUUUCAUUCUUGAAAUGGCGAUGUAUUUGACAUGAUUUUUCAAUGGCAAAAUGGAAUUGAACUGUAACAGUGAUUAAUUAUAUAGUUAAGGGGCACUUGCUCAAUGGCUACCCUCUGUUAUAUACUGUGCAUACUCCUUUUGAAGUAAUUAAAAUUGCUACAUGUAGUGUUAAGGUGAGAUGGCACAUCUCUUAUCCUAUCAUUGCAUGUGAUCAAUGCUUAUUUG